UAGUCCACGCAGUAAACGUUGAUCACUAGGUGUAGCGGGUAUUGACCCCUGCUGUGCCGCAGUUAACGCAUUAAGUGAUCCGCCUGGGGAGUACGGCCGCAAGGUUAAAACUCAAAGGGAAUUGACGGGGGCCCGCACAAGCGGUGGAGCAUGUGGUUUAAUUCGACGCAACGCGAAGAACCUUACCUGGAUUUGACAUCCCGAGGAGUCUUUUGAAAAAUUGAUGUGCCCUUCGGGGAACUCGGUGACAGGUGCUGCAUGGCUGUCGUCAGCUCGUGUCGUGAGAUGUUGGGUUAAGUCCCGCAACGAGCGCAACCCUUGUCUUUAGUUACCAGCGAUUCGGUCGGGGACUCUAGAGAUACUGCCCCGGUUAACGGGGACGGAAGGUGGGGGAUGACGUCAAGUCCUCAUGGCCUUUAUGUCCAGGGCUACACACGUGCUACAAUGGGCUGUACAAGGGUCGCGAAGCCUGCGAAGGUUAGCUAACCCCAGAAAGCAGUUCUUAGUUCGGAUUGGAGUCUGC
rnacentral:rRNA from 1 species